ACGCUCGCUUCAGCAGCACACGUACUGAAUUGGAAUGAUACAGAGAAGAUCAGCAUGACCCUUGAGCAGGGAUGACCCAUCACCUCUCCAGAGAGUGUAGUUUGAU
rnacentral:snRNA from 14 species